rnacentral:misc_RNA from 1 species
AACGCACAUUGCGCCCAUUAGUAUUCUAGUGGGCAUGCCUGUUCGAGCGUCAUUUCAACCCCUAAGCACAGCUUACUGUUGGGACUCUACGGCCUCCGUAGUUCCCCAAAGCGAUUGGCGGAGUGGCAGUAGUCCUCUGAGCGUAGUAAUUCUUUAUCUCGCUUUUGUUAGGUGCUGCCCCCCCGGCCGUUAAACCCCCAAUUUUUUCUGGUUGACCUCGGAUCAGGUAGGAAUACCCGCUGAACUUAA